rnacentral:rRNA from 1 species
AUUGAACGCUGGCGGCAUGCUUUACACAUGCAAGUCGAACGGCAGCACGGGGGGUAACCCCUGGUGGCGAGUGGCGAACGGGUGAGUAAUGCAUCGGAACGCGUCCUGUAAUGGGGGAUAACCUAUCGAAAGGUAGGCUAAUACCGCAUACGUCCUGAGGGAGAAAGCGGGGGAUCGAAAGACCUCGUGUUAUAGGAGUGGCCGAUGUCGGAUUAGCUAGUUGGUGGGGUAAAGGCCUACCAAGGCGACGAUCCGUAGCGGGUCUGAGAGGACGGCCCGCCACACUGGGACUGAGACACGGCCCAGACUCCUACGGGAGGCAGCAGUGGGGAAUUUUGGACAAUGGGGGCAACCCUGAUCCAGCCAUGCCGCGUGAGUGAAGAAGGCCUUCGGGUUGUAAAGCUCUUUCGGCCGGGAAGAAAUCGCCUUGGUUAAUACCUGAGGUGGAUGACGGUACCGGAAGAAGAAGCACCGGCUAACUACGUG